rnacentral:rRNA from 1 species
AGAACGAACGCUGGCGGCAGGCUUAACACAUGCAAGUCGAACGCUCCUAGCAAUAGGGGAGUGGCAGACGGGUGAGUAACGCGUGGGAACAUACCCUCCGGUUCGGAAUAACUCAGGGAAACUUGAGCUAAAUACCGGAUACGGCCUUUAGUCGAAGGAUUGGCGGCGAAAGAUUUAUCGCCGGAGGAUUGGCCCGCGUCCGAUUAGCUAGUUGGUGUGGUAAUGGCGCACCAAGGCGACGAUCGGUAGCUGGUCUGAGAGGAUGAUCAGCCACAUUGGGACUGAGACACGGCCCAAAACUCCUACGGGAGGCAGCAGUGGGGAAUAUUGGACAAUGGGCGCAAGCCUGAUCCAGCCAUGCCGCGUGAGUGAUGACGGCCUUAGGGUUGUAAAGCUCUUUCGCUCGGACGAUAAUGACGGUACCGAGAUAAGAAGCCCGGCUAACUUCGUGCCAGCAGCCGC